rnacentral:rRNA from 1 species
AGACAGCAGUCGCCGCGGUAAUACGUAGGGUGCAAGCGUUAAUCGGAAUUACUGGGCGUAAAGCGUGCGCAGGCGGUUAUAUAAGUCAGAUGUGAAAUCCCCGGGCUCAACCUGGGAACUGCAUUUGAGACUGUAUGGCUAGAGUGUGUCAGAGGGGGGUAGAAUUCCACGUGUAGCAGUGAAAUGCGUAGAUAUAUGGAGGAAUACCGAUGGCGAAGGCAGCCCCCUGGGAUAACACUGACGCUCAUGCACGAAAGCUAGGGGAGCAAAUGGGAUUAGAUACCCGCGUAGUCCCUGUCUCUUAUAC